GAUGAACGCUAGCUACAGGCUUAACACAUGCAAGUCGAGGGGUCUUGAGGAAGCUCGCUUUCGAGAGACGACUGGCGCACGGGUGAGUAACGUGUAUCCAACCUGCCCUUCAUAUUGGGAUAGCCUUCCGAAAGGAAGAUUAAUACCGACUAACAUAGAGUGGUUGCCUGAUUUCCCUAUGAAAGCUCCGUCGAUGAAGGAAGGGGAUGCGUUCUGUUAGGUAGUAGGCGGGGUAACGGCCCACCUAGCCGACGACGGAUAGGGGUUCUGAGAGGGAGGUCGCCACACUGGAGCUGAGACACGGUCCAGACUCCUAGGGGAGGCAGCAGUGAUGAAUAUUGGUCAAUGGGCGCAAGCCUGAGCCAGGCAAGUAGCGUGAAAGAAGACUGCCCUAUGGGUUGUAAACUUCUUUUAUACGGGAACAAACCAUGGUACGUGUACCAGAUUGCGUGUACCGUAUGAAUAAGCAUCGGCUAACUCCGUGCCAGCCGCCGCCGUAAAAC
rnacentral:rRNA from 1 species